rnacentral:rRNA from 1 species
GAGUUUGAUCCUGGCUCAGAACGUACGCUGGCGGCACGCCUAACACAUGCAAGUCGAACGAAGUAGCAAUACUUAGUGGCAGACGGGUGAGUAACAUGUAGGUAUCUGCCCUUUGGCCUGGAAUAACACGAGGAAACUUGUGCUAAUACCGGAUAAGUCUUUACGGAGAAAGCUUUAUGCACCAUUGGAUGAGCCUGCACUUGAUUAGUUUGUUGGUGGAGUAAUGGCCUACCAAGACUGUGAUCAAUAGCUGAUUUGAGAGGAUGAUCAGCCACAUUGGGACUGAGACACGGCCCAAACUCCUACGGGAGGCAGCAGUGGGGAAUCUUGCACAAUGGAGGAAACUCUGAUGCAGCGAUGCCGCGUGAGUGAAGAAGGCCCUUGGGUUGUAAAGCUCUUUCGUCGGGGAAGAAAAUGACUGUACCCGAAUAAGAAGGUCCGGCUAACUUCGUGCCAGCAGCCGCGGUAAUACGAAGGGACCUAGCGUAGUUCGGAAUUACUGGGCUUAAAGAGUUCGUAGGUGGUUGAAAAAGUUAGUGGUGAAAUCCCAGAGCUUAACUCUGGAACUGCCAUUAAAACUUUUCAGCUAGAGUAUGAUAGGGGAAAGCAGAAUUUCUAGUGUAGAGGUGAAAUUCGUAGAUAUUAGAAAGAAUACCAAUUGCGAAGGCAGCUUUCUGGAUCAUUACUGACACUGAGGAACGAAAGCAUGGGUAGCGAAGAGGAUUAGAUACCCUCGUAGUCCAUGCCGUAAACGAUGUGUGUUAGACGUUGGAAAUUUAUUUUCAGUGUCGCAGGGAAACCGAUAAACACACCGCCUGGGGAGUACGUCCGCAAGGUUAAAACUCAAAUGAAUUGACGGGGACCCGCACAAGUAGUGGAGCAUGUGGUUUAAUUCGAAGAUACGCGCAGAACCUUACCAACACUUGACAUGUUCGUCGCGACUCUAAGAGAUUAGAGUUUUCGGUUCGGCCGGACGAAACACAGGUGCUGCAUGGCUGUCGUCAGCUCGUGUCGUGAGAUGUUGGGUUAAGUCCCGCAACGAGCGCAGCCCUCACUUUUAGUUGCCAUCAUUAAGUUGGGCACUCUGAAAGAACUGCCAGUGAUAAGCUGGAGGAAGGUGGGGAUGACGUCAAGUCCUCAUGGCCCUUACGUGUUGGGCUACACACGUGCUACAAUGGUAUCUACAACAGGAAGCAAGACUGCGAAGUUAAGCAAAUCCCUAAAAGAUACCUCAGUUCGGAUUGCACUCUGCAACUCGAGUGCAUGAAGCUGGAAUUACUAGUAAUCGUGGAUCAGCGUGCCACGGUGAAUGCGUUCCCGGGUCUUGUACACACCGCCCGUCACACCAUGGGAGUUGGUUCUACCUUAAGGCAAGGUUUUAAACCCUUGACCACGGUAUAGUCAGCGACUGGGGUGAAGUCGUAACAAGGUAACC